AGGUGCGAUCAUACCAGCACUAAUGCACCGGAUCCCAUAACUCCACAGUCAAGCGUGCUCUGGCGAGAGUAGUACUAGGAUGGGUGACCACCUGGGAAAUCCUCGUGUUGCACCUC
rfam:Lupinus angustifolius cultivar Tanjil chromosome LG09, whole genome shotgun sequence.